rnacentral:lncRNA from 1 species
GAUUCUUCCCACGCUAUUACCAGCAUUUGUUAACCUUCAUAAAACCUGUCUUUUCUUUCCUAGGUCACUAUUGCCCCAGGAAUACACAGUAUCCAUGUCCCCCUGGAACCUCUAGUGAAGCUUUAAAUAUCUGGGAUGCUUCCAAGUGCCAGCUGUGUCCUCCUGGAAGGGUCUCUUCCAAGCCGGGUUUAGCAAGACCAGAUGGACUGUGCAUGCCUGGAUGGCUUUGUCCGCCUGGAUCCACAUCAAGCAAACCAGUGUUUCCUAGAAAUUACAUUGGUACAAAGGGAAACAAUAAAGAUAAAGUGUGAUGGUGAUUAUUAUCGAGGAGGCACGACAGCUUCAGCUUCUGGGUUGUGCCAAGGACCUUUUGUCCUGCUGGUUCAUUUCUUCCUCUGCCCUGCACUCCAGGUAGGAGAAGGCUCUUUCCUCCUGCACAAGUUUAUUGGGUUGGGCUGGGUUUUUUAUACAUUUGUACUCUUUUCCCUUUUGCUGAGAUCAAUGGGCGGUCCCGGUCUUGUGCCGUGACUGUUUGGUGCUGGCGUCUUUUAAAUGAUGUUCUUGCUCCUGCCCUCUGCUUCAGGUUUGUACUGUGCAACUGCAGAGCUCGCAGCUCCGCCAGGUCCUUGCGAGGCUGACUUCUACUGCACGGGGGGGGCUCCACACUCCCAAACCCCAUGGAUGGAGCAGUGGGGAACAUUUGUCCUUGAGGCCACUUCUGUCCUGCAGGGAGUUCUUCUCCAUCUCCGUGUCCCCCAGGCUCCUUUUUGGCUCAUCGUGGUGGCCAGUCAGCACAGGACUGCCAGGCCUGCGUCCCAGGGAGGUUCUGUUCUCAGCGAGGUCAGAGCUCCCCGGAGGGCUUGUGUGAAGAAGGAUGGUUUUGCCCGGAGGGCUCUGCGUCAGGCCAGCAUUCAGGUAGGAAUUCAGGGGUUGUUCUUUACCUAUAGGAGUUGCAGUGGCAAGAUGAUGUUAAAGUCUGCCUUUACUUACAGUUUCAAGUUACGUUCAGAAAUGGCUAGCUAUGUAAAUUAAAAAAUGUUUGCUAAAAAUUAUUCCAAGCAACACAGGUUAAGUAGUGGGUAAUUGUAUGUAAAUAUAGCAGGAAAAAUAGGGGAUCUUAUCAAAGC